UACGAGGGGGGCAAGCUUUGUUCGGAAUUAUUGGGCGUAAAGAGCGUGUAGGCGGUCAGGUAGGUCCGUUGUGAAAACUCGAGGCUCAACCUCGAGACGCCGAUGGAAACCAUCUGACUAGAGUCCGGAAGAGGAGAGUGGAAUUCCUGGUGUAGCGGUGAAAUGCGCAGAUAUCAGGAAGAACACCCGUGGCUAAGGCGGCUCUCUAGUACGGUACUGACGCUGAGACGCGAAAGCGUGGGGAGCGAACAGG
rnacentral:rRNA from 1 species